GUCUGUGGGUGUUCUGGGCGGAUGCGUGUUCUGCUUGCGGCCCUUCAUAUUGUUGUUUUCUGGGAGUGUGAGUGACGCUCCGUCGCAAUCUGGUUGCGGAAGUGAAGCGCUUUCCUUCCUUACCUGCCCAUCGGCAGGUGGCGUUUAGAUUUGUGGGACUACCAUUCUUCCGGGUCAACGUUACCAGAAUAGCGGACGCCGGACAGGAAGACCCGGCCGUUAUCGGGAGCAGGUGCUUCUCACUGGCUUGAAGUCAGUGGUGAAUGGAUGUCCAGAAAACGCUGUGAUUGAUACAGGAUCCGCCGCUACAUUGUUGUCAGAGGAUUUUGCCGACCGCCUACCUAAGGAGCUGGAAAAGGAAACCUCUGACCAAGGCCCGAGGUUAAUUGGUGCCAACGGACAACCACCGCCGCCCGAGACGAGGAGGACAGCGCCCGGGUAUUUGACAGUGCUCAGCCAGUUGGCACGAUGAAGAGGCGAACCCCGCGUUCCCGCCAUCCGCCCCAGCUGUUUGGGAGUCCUGUGUGGCACGAGUAAGUGACUUCAGUGGUACUGACUGGAUUGGUCGUGUUCGAUAUUACAGUUAGUUUUGGAACAAUUUUGGUAGGGACUCCAAUUUGACCUGCACUCGUUUAGUUAAAAUUGUUACCCAUACUCUUAGUCUAAUUUAUUAAGUUACUUAUAACACGAGGACAUGUUCUUUUCCAUGUAAGCGGGAGAUAUGUCAUAUCCAUACUAUUGACACGUGCCUUUUAGGCCUCUACGUGACAAGUCUGCCUUUAUUUAGGUGUCUAGUUAUUUAUUUACAUCCCGUAAACGGAUUCAUAAUCGCCUUUAUUUUAUGUCUUCACACAAAGCCUGGCGCCUUCCUUAUUUGGUAUACCCUGUUUUUCCUUAGCUGUCUCCUGCUCUUUGUGAUACAGUUUAUACACAUUAUUGCUAAGUAAGGAUUUAUCGCGUGCUAGCGACCGUCGUGAGUUCCCUUCGGGAGCGGACACGAUAAUUUACUUUACUUUUAUAGCUUAGUUUUGGUACACUGCGGCAUGCGGGUGUUCUAUGGUUCAUUAUUUGUCCAAUAGUUCGUACGGGGGGAUCAGCCUCCCGCCGGUAGUUAGAUAUUAUGGCAAUCGCCUUUCUGUCUCUCUCUCUCUCUCUCUCUUUCUCUCUCUCUCUCUCUCUUGCCUUCCGCCUUCAGGCGGAAGCUUCGGCUUCCGUCUCUCUUGCCUUGUGCUCUCAUAUCAUCUCUUGAGCUAUGUUACCUUCGUUGAAGAUGUGAGUAAACCUGAA